rnacentral:rRNA from 1 species
UACGGAGGGUGCGAGCGUUGUCCGGAAUCACUGGGCGUAAAGGGCGCGUAGGCGGCUUUGCAAGUGACGGGUGAAAUCCCUCGGCUUAACCGGGGAACUGCGUCCGAUACUGGAUGGCUUGAGUUUGGGAGAGGGAUGCGGAAUUCCAGGUGUAGCGGUGAAAUGCGUAGAUAUCUGGAGGAACACCGGUGGCGAAGGCGGCAUCCUGGACCAACACUGACGCUGAUGAGCGAAAGCCAGGGGAGCAAACGGG